AAGUGUAUUGGAAAGUUUGCCAUAACAUAGCUAAAAUAGAAACUUCUUUAUACUUCUUCACUAAACUCAUGGUUGAUCAUCUGUGCUUGAUAAUUUGACAUUGAUUGAUCAUCUCAAAAACUAUUUUGUUCCACUUUCAUCAAUUUAUUACAAUUUUAACAUAAAACAAGCAUGCAAUUUAAAAUAAUGACGUGAAAGUAAACAAAAACCAAUAAAAAUGUAACUUCCAUUUAUCGUAAACAUCGUAAUGAUAUGCCUCAAAGUAGACAUACCACUUGCGGGGCAGAUGAUGUGGGGCAAGCUGGCAGUACUAGAGGAGCAGGUGCUCCGGGGACAACGGUUGUGUCAAAGAACUUUCAAGGACUUGGGGCAACUGGGCCACUUUCAAAGUCGGCUGAACAGAAGUCGACGCCAAUUCCUCGAGCCCCGAUAACCACUCAGCAGAGGGUCCCAGUCUUCAGUGCUGUCAAUAACUCCACACCAGUGGUUUUUCCAUGCACUGUGACGGGAUCAGCACAGAGCGGACAACGACGCCCUUCGCCGAAUUUCUUUACUUCGUUCAAGCGCACAUUGUUAAAGACCUGGAAUGACACAAAUAACUUCAUCAAGAAAAUGAAAGAAGAUCAUUUCAGAUGGCAACUCUUCAAGAGCAUACUCAUCUUCACCAUUGGGCUCAAGCUGUUCAACGAUUUGGCCAGACAUUUGGCCGAGGACUUUAUCUUGUAUAUCGACUAAUGUGAAUCUAGCACGUAAAGACGAAGUGUCUAUGCGGUUAUUAAUAUGCAAUGUUAGUAAAUGGAAAUUACGAACA